rnacentral:lncRNA from 1 species
GAGACACUGGGAAAGAGCUCAGGGAAGACAGCAAGUGGCUGAACUGGGCCAUUUGUGAGCCGGUACGAGUUCACCUUCAGUGUCGCCACACUCCUUUCAUCUCUGAGGACCCCAAGCUUGUUCCCCUAGCACCGCAGGUCAACUCCUUCAUAUAGUACUGUUCCCUCUCUCAAGGUCUGCUCCCAGGCAAAGUUCUGGAAGUUGUUUUCUCAAUCUGGUGUAAAAGACUGAUAAUAGCUUGCACGUACCUUUGCAGACGUUUUUGUAUUUCGACAAGGCUGAACACCUUAAUGCCAAGCUGUGCUGCUCCAGUUGGCCUGCCCGGCACAUCAGUGGGCAGCGUGUCUGUAAGGGGAGGGGCCUUUCCUGACACAGCUGGAGCACAGCAUGUAGUAGCUGUUUAUUCCACCUCGGCAGACAGUCAGAUUUAGUUGACACUACUUAGAAUUAGAUUUUUAAAGCUGGAAAGAACCUGGUCGAAUUUCCUUCCAUUAAAGAUAAAGAAACAGACCUGGAGGCCUGAUGUCACUUCAGUUCAAUUCAACAGGUGUUUUCUAAGCACCUACUGUGUGCCAGACACCAGCCUGACAUAAGAGAAGCAAUGAGUGAUAUGAUACGGCACUUGGCCUCCGUCUUCCCACCCUCACACGGUCAGGCGGGGCAGAUGCAGGACUGCAUUCUUGCUUCUGCAGGCAGGUGCACUAAGAGUGGGCAGACAGACCACCAGUAGGGCCAGUGUUGGAAAUCAUUCUUCAAUUUGCUAGAACUGUGAAGAAUGACUCAUACAGCACUCCCAGAAGGGUACCGUCAUUGUCAUAUCUCUGAAAUCUUGGGAAAUAAAGUUAGAUCUCAAAUGUAGGGAUUAGGGACACAAACCCAGGAAGUUCAUAACUGUAAACUUCUCUCAAUUCAGUUGAAUU